CCGUUUUCAGCUACUUUAAGAGAAUAUUUAAAUUAUUUUAUCUCAUAUAGAAACAUUUUUAAAUUGAGAUAUUGAGAACUUGAUUUGCCCAAGGUCAUAAUCAGUUGAUAUUGGAAUCAGAAUUAGAAUCUAGGCCUGGCCACAAUUUCAGGUGUCUUCUUUUAAAGUUAUUUAUUUUUAAACACUUUUUUUUUUUGAUACAGGAUCUCACUCUGUCACCCAGGCUGGAGUGCAGUGGCAGGAUCGAAGCUCACUAUAGCCUUGACUUCCCCAGGCUCAGGAGUCACUCAGAAUCCAGCCAUCUUGGAUAUGAGGAAGCAGAGCAACCUCAUGGAGAAACCACGUAGGUGUUCCUGCUGACAAUCCUAGCCGAGAUCCCAGUCAACAGCCAGCAUAACCUCAGACAUAUGUUGAAGUAAAUUAAAAUGGAGACCAGGCCUGAAGAAUCUCUGAGCAAACAAAACCAGUUAGGCCUCAUAAGUGACCUCAACCUUGAUUUACAAACACAAGGGAAACUUAUGUUGAGCCAUUUCUUGUAAAUGCCUGUAUUAAAGAAAAACAAAACUUAAGCUCAACCAAUUGGAAGUAGCCAAAAACUUAUAUAACUAGGGACUUUCCAAGAAGGUGAAUGAAUGAAUAAGGCAACUGUAUAAUUGCAAUCAAUCAAAUUAUUUAUUUUGCUCCACAUUUACCCCAUAAAUACUUGCCCCUGAUGAUUUGUCAUGAGAAAAUUAAACUUCUUUUGGUUUGGUA